rnacentral:lncRNA from 1 species
GUAAUCUGAGGACGAAAUCUCAGAUCUUUUUGAGUUUUUUUAUAUUACAACAACUACAUAUAAUAUGUAAAUGUUGAAUUUAUUGUAAUUUAAGUCUUUUAAUACACAACAGAAUUUAAAAGAAAUCUGAAUAUUGUAAUGAACCAUUUUUCUAUUAAUAUCUAUUAUGGAAACAGUCCAAAGGUUAGAAAAAGGGAAAAGGGCAGUCUAAAAAAAUAGGAUUUGGCAAUGAUAUUUUUAUUCCUGAUGUAAAAUCAGAUACAAGUACUAAGAUAUGAGAAUCUCACCUUACUACUGGGGUUAAUUUUGAGACAAUAGCUGAUUAUCAUUUUGUUUAUCAAUAUAAAUCAUGAGUGUGUACUUUUUACUAGUAUCCAUUACAACUAGGGUCAUUCAAGAAUUUAUUUGCCUGUGAACAGGUAGUUUUUACAUCCUUGUUCUUUAAUCUUUGGUGGAUUGUUGUCUCAUUGGCAAUCAUACCACAUGAUCUAUUUAAACAAAGUUUAUUGGUUAGAAUUUGAAAGGAAUCUGUGAAAAAGAAAUGAUGUUCAGAAUUGGUUUAUUGUAAGUUAGUUUUGUAAGAGAUGAAAGAGAAGAAUGAUGUUUUGACUAGAAGCAUACCAUGUUAAAUUGUUCAACAUUUUUUUUUAAAUAUCUCAUAUUUUUUCAUAUUUUAAACACCAAAUUUUUAAAGAGAGUAAUUAGGAUUUACUUUCCUUUGCCUUAAAGGAUAGAUAAUUAGUUAUUGUAUUUUGUAGAAUUUUUUGCCUGUAGUGCUUAUAUGAUAUUGUUAACUGAAAUGAUAACUACUGGUAGUUUUACUGUUGAAGUUACGAAAAUCGUUUAGUCAUUUUGCUAAGAAUGUAUUAAAUAGGGGAAUUUUGUUAUUUCUCUUCUUUAUUUAUUUAUAUAUUCUUCCAAUGUUACUAGUUUAAGGGACGACAUCAAAAGAUCAAUGUAGGAUAAAAAACUUAAAUCAA